GCCAUCGUAGCUUAAAUCACUAAAGCAUAACACUGAAAAUGUUAAAAUGGAUAAACAAAUCCCGAAUGGCA
rnacentral:tRNA from 1 species